ACAGGUCACGUUGUUAUUCUACAGCUAAAAAAUACAAUUGAGAAGUUCAUUUAUCUAAGCAAAUUAAUUUAUUUAUUUUUCAUUCUAUACACUAAUAUUUAUUUCUUUUUGUUUUUUCAUUAAGGCACACAUUAAACUUCUGCAUUCAGAUCACACUAUAUACAUUCUCUAUGAUUUUAAGCUCAGGUCAGUUUGCUGACUAAUCAACGGGUACAGCAGCCGUGAAAGCAGGUUUUGGUACUUUUGGCAGUGUAGACAGGUGGCAAGUCCUGAAGGAAAAUAAAAUCAGUAUCUAUAUAAAGCUUGUCAGAGGAAGGAGGCAUGAAAAUCUCUCCAAGUUCCUUGUAGGCAGCUGUGCUGACCAUGGGGCUGAUAAAAACAAACUGGACUAACACCAGUACACGACAAGACUCUGUAAAUCAUCACUGACAGAGAAACCUUCACGCUUGACCUUGUAUUUUGUGGUUUCCCUUCGUUCUUUCAAACUUACUUACUCUAAAACUCCAAAUUAAAUGAAACGGGUAAUAAAAUGUACUUCUAUUUGAAAAGAGGACUUUGAAGCAGGUUAGACACUACUGAUGAUGUCUCUGGUGCAGAACUGACUUAAAGUCAAGGAACCCAAUGGUUGUAGUCCAUCUUUUGUAAUCAUUUGUGAUUGCUCUCGAAGGGCUGACUCUAGUUGUGAAUUUUCCUCUAUACUCUUUAAUGAAUGUUGCUUUAUAAUCCUCUCAAACCUUGGCAACUCCUGUUGCUGGUGCGUGUUUUUCUACCACGCUGUUUCCUUCCACUCAACUUUCUAUUAAUAUGCUUAUGUAACCCCCAUGGUCUGUCGGUAUGUUUAAUGUGUUGUCUUAGUUCUUAGAAUGUCCUGUAGAGGGCACUAGACCCAAAUUUCUCCUGUGUCGGAAAAGAAGAAGAGUAAGGCAUAAGGGAGAAGAAGGAGAAAUGGCAGACUAUGCAGACUAAGCAUGUUUCAGCAGAAAUAGAGAAGUCACUAGUCACUACUGCUGCUGUUAUACGAAAGAAAUCUGUAAUUUUGAACUGGAUUAWGUACAUUCUGUUCCAGGAUUUCUCCGGUUGGUUUUUUUAAUGGCCGACAUCUGAACGUGGAGUUCCAGAAGCAGGAGGGCCCCGCCGCCAUCUUUGUGACUCGGACUGAAGCCUGGAAAGAGGAGGGACUGUGCGGCUGAAGCUGGACAUUUUGCUUGGACAACAGAUAAGCUUUUUGAACAAAAAGGGGCCCCCAAUACCUCGAAUUAGUUUUUUUAUUCCACAAACUAUUUGUUCAGAAAAAUUUUUUCCCAAAAAAUUGACUAUCUAUGUGCACAUUGACUGAAUUGACUGACUGAACUGUAUAUUGACUGACUAACUGGGAAAUGUAAUUUUUUUCUCUUGGAAAAGAAGCGGUUGCUGAAAUGAGCUUCCUUAAGCUAUUAUAACUUAAGAAACCUACCCUUAUUUUUCUGAAUAUUUUGUUUUUUCUAAGGGUGGACAAUUUAAGUUUUAUUAAUCUUCAUGAAGGUAAUUGGUGUUAUCUGAAUUAUUAUUCUUUUGUGGGGAAAGAAAAAUAAACUGGAGUUGUUGAAUUUA